CUGGUAACUGCACAGAAACGGCAGUUUGAAGAUUCGCUGCAGCAGCAUAUUUGAGAGUAUAGCCACAGUUGCCAUUGUUGUAGAACUUGGCCCUAUUCAGCUGAAGAACUCGACCUUCUGACUGGUAGUUCAAAGCAACUGUUUGUCAUUGCCCAGUGGCUGCAUACCCAGAUGACAUCCAGCGUUCCAGAAGGGCUGAGGGUUGAAGUUGCUCGAAUCCACACGGUAUGAUGAGGGGUAGACGCGCGACAGCUGCCGCUGGUUGAAGCGCACAAACUGUGCUGGCUUCUGCUGGAUCAGCUGCGCGUCCAAUGCCGAUUCCCGCUCUGAUUGAGGAGAACGAAGCUAACCCAUGCAUUUUGUCACCCCCACUUUGCCGAGUGUAAUGCAGAUCAGCACUGUGAACGGAGAGACACACCCUGACAGCACUCUUAUCCCAUCUCUGUACAGGCGCCAUCAAUCAGCCAGCAGAGGUCAUAAUUGCAUUAGUUAUGAGAGAGACCCUAUCCGUCUUUAAUAUCCCACCCCUAUCCGAACAACAGGCCAAUUGUUGUUUGUGUGACCGCUCAGCCUCAGUCGGCAAGGCAGAGCUGAGGUUCGAUACAAUGUAUUCGAGAUCCAGCUAUGGUUGCAGCAUGUUUUUACCGCUGCGCCACCUGAGCGGCCAUAACAUCGGUUCAUUGUUAAAGUAUUUGAAGUGUGACAUUGUAUCAAAUUGUUGUUCUUGUUAGCAUAUGACUAUUAAACUGUAUUUUUUCAAAAAUGAGUGACCAUGAAGUUUGUGAACCUGGUUGCAGUGCCAGAAGUGACACGCCUCCCCCCCAAAAGGCGAAACUUUCAACAACCAGUGGUUAUCAGACCCAUAUUUAAAAGACUGGA